GAUGAGCUUCAGUGACUGAUGAGUUCAUUUCAAAAUCCAAGGGCACAUAGAUGGUAAAUUAAUACAUAUGGCAAAUACAGUCAACGAGCAAACCCCAGCCACUGGAAGGAAAGGGAAUUUUAGCUCUGUAGUCAUCACAUGCCUGAACAGAGAGUCUACAUAUCUUAAAUGUAGAUCCGAAUCAUUGCUCUUUUAUCCCGCUAAAUGCUGAUUGCAAAGAAAUAUUUGGGCAUUGUUGACUUUCCGUCCAUAAAGAAAGGCCACCAAGAUUCACAAAAUCCAUCACCUGCACUCAUACAUGCAUGUGUGCUUGAAAUUCCCCUAGGAUGUGAAACAGUUAGGCAGAGAACUGCACUGUGGUCUCCCUUCCUCACUUCUUUCCCUCCCUGUUUUUCCUUUUCGAAAAUGUGAUACCUGAUCUCUAGGUCUUGCGGGCUGAGAAAUUUUUUGUAUUUGUAUAAUGCAGUGUCUGGCCUUCCCCCUGACCUGCUGAUGUAUUUUUGGCCUCAUUAGUAGUCAGGGAGAUGCCUUAGUGCAUCCAGCACUGCAAGUCAGGGAUGAGACACACUACAACAGGAGAGGGAGCAAGCGCGAGAGGAUAUUAGAAGAGAGGCUUGUCUCCAAGAUAUGGAAGGAAGUGAGAAAUGACAGGGCUGCAAGCUUUGUAUGUAGGAGCCCGGCAGGGCGGGGGAGCGGCGAGGAGAGCCAAGUGGAUUCUCAGAAAAGGGGGGAAGCCAUCGAAGAGCUAAAGGUGAUUAGAGGGGGAUAUUGAUUUCUUAUUCUGCCAGAGAUUUAAGCAGGCAUGCGAGGAAUCUGCACCAUGGUUGGCAAAAAGAGACCCGUUGCCUCCUGUAACCAGACACUCAGGCUUUCCAGGAGCCCAGGGAGCAAGCCGAGAAGAAAGGGGGCAGUGUGGUCUAGGAAAAUUCAACUUGUCGCUGAUUUGUGCCUGAUGCCUGCUGUCCGUCAGCAGCCUCCCUUACAAUCUUUUUUUCUCUCUCUCCUUUUUUUUUCCUUGCCUUCUCCUUCUUCACUGAAGCCUAGGGGAGCCAGUAAAGAUUAAAUGUGCUUCUCAAAGGCAGCCACUUCAUGCUGCUAUGUCGAAAGGGCCAUUAUUAUUAUUAUAUUUUAAUGGUAAAAGAGAAAAGGAGAGAGGUUGAGCGAGCGAGAGAGAAGCUAGGUGUGAUGAUGACAGACUAGCUUUUCUGAGAGGAAAAGGAAAAGGGAAGGGAGAGAAAAAGGAGAGCCUCUGAGCUCAACGGAGGAUUGUGCCUGAGAAGAACCCACAGAGCAUAAGCUACAGAGUUACAGUCUCGAGAUUUGGUGUAUCGCUUCCUGCCCCCGCCUCCCCUCCCCGCCCCCGUUCUCCGUCCUCUAUUGAAACACCUCGCCCAGCCUAGCGCACUGAGAGCUCUCAUUUUCCCCCCUUGCUCGGGAUGGUGCCACAGGAGGCUGUGCGGGCCCCGCUCCGCUUCGAAUGGUUGUGUUGAUGUUCCUUUCAGCUGGUCCUAUAGUACCCCUCCUCAGGAAUGUCUCCCCAGUGCAAGGACAAAGACUGAAGAGACUGCUAUAUUGAUGGACUCUCAAGCCAACUAUGAAGUUGAAACAAAGAAAGUGAUCACCUGAAGACACCUCCUCUGCUAAGAAACACCCCCAAAUUGUGCAGCUUCUGCCACUAGAACUCUCAGAACAAGAGACAAUCUUUUCAAGAAACAGAAAAACUCAAUAAUGACAUCUAGAUUUUCAUGAGCCAAGAACUUUCCCUUCCUCAUGUGUAUUCCUCUGUUUGUACUUAAAUUCAUGUGACAUUCAUUUUUUUCCUAGUAUGGAUAUGCUUAUUAAUGCACUUGUUUCAAAAUCCCAAAUUGCACAAAUGUGUUAAUAUUUUAAGAAACAAAAUGAAUCCUACAAGGAGAAUGAUUUUUAGCCACACAUAGGGUUGGAUCUUGAGAGUGACCUACAGAAUAAAAGUACUUUUAAAAUAAAGUAGUCAGAGGCUAUUCAAAGGGUAAAAUAAUCAUAGUACCACAUUGGUCCACUUGACACUAACCAAUCGAUCAUUUUUUUUUAAUCAAGAAAGCUAGAUUCUAUCAGAUAAAAUCACUGCUUCUAAAGAGUUUAAAUCUAGUUAGAAAAAGUUAUAGAAAUGUUUGCAAAGAUAAGUAACAGAUAGAGUCAGUAGAGGAUAAGAUCAAAAACAAAACCAAGCAAAAGAUGAGUUCAGGGGAGUUUGCCAUCAAGUUGGCAAAACUGACUUACUUAGGGAAGAAAGUUAUAAAACAGGAAAAUAUGAGAUGAACCUUGAGUGAUGUGGAAGAUUUAGAUAAAUGGAAAGGAAGGAGAAAAUGGAGUUCUUUAGGUGGUUGUAAUUGGAGGAGGAAAUGAAUACACACAUCUUGUUGACUUAAACCCAGACAUUCAGCAGCUCUCUAUACAUAUCUGGAAAAGACUGCACAGUCACCUCCUGUCUCUCACCCCAGGUAUUACUUAGAAUUAUUAUCAUAUUUCCCUUCCUUUAAAGUAAGUAAGGGUGAUUGGUGACAAUAUGGAGAACUAUGAUUUUUCCAUUAACCUAAUAAUAAUUGGUAUUUAUUGAGUUCUGUUAAGCAUUUUACAUAUUAACUCACUUAAGCCUUUCAACAGCCUUGCAAAAUAGGUAUUAUUAUCCCCAUUUUACAGGCAAGAAAACUGAGGUUUAAGUAACUUGCCGAAGUGCCAUAUACAGGGCUCACAUUCAGUAUUGCAGUUGCAAAGCUCAUGAUCUAUAGUGCCAAGUUGCAAUAUUGUAGUCAAUGUCACAAUUAUUACCCCUUUUUAUAUUCCUUGAUAUUUUUCCAUGGCAAACAAUUAGCUAUUUCAUUUAAUAAUCACCUAAAACUUUUCAGUCUUCUGAUUAAAAUUACGCUGGAGUGAUAGAAUGUAUUUUCAUGAUAGAAAUUGGGAAAAAAAAUGGGGAAUGAAGUUUAUCAGCAUUUCAGACUUGUUUUUUUUUUUUUUUUUUGCAAGACUUUGAUGAGAUUGUUCACUUUUGUCUAUGUAAAAUCCCAAAUCCUUGAGAAUAAAAAAGGGGGAGGUUUAAGUCACUUGUUGCAAUGCCCUUUUUAAUAGAGGCAAUAAAUCUAAAGGCCAUAAAUUUAGAGUGACUUACAGAAGAUCGAACUUUGGAGUGUGGCAGAGUAAGGGAUGGAAACCGGGCCCUCCAGUUCACUAUCAGUAGCUUUUGCACUGGUCUGCCCUUCCUAAAUUAAGUAUGCACUUCAAUUUGAUGAGUGGAAACAGUCUAUCUGGGCAGUAACCAGGGAGCUUUGUGCCUAGUAGAUUGCUUCUGUUCUGCACUUCUUUGGUUUCCCACCUCAAUGUAAAAAAUAGCUAGCAAUGAAGUCCAGAAGUUGUCAAUGGUUCAUCCCCAGAAGAAUGCAUAAUGUCCAAAGUUGUAUGUGUAUGAUGUCUUCAAUGGUAUUAAGUUAUUUCAAAUUCUUAGUUCACCUACAUAAAUCAUUUCUAACAAGCAUCUUCUUAACCAACUUUAUGCACAGUGUAUGUUUGUAAGUGCUUCUGCACGAAUGUUUAUACAUGACUGUUUCCAUAGUACUUAUGUUUUUAAAAAUAUUCAGUCAUUUCCUACUAUAAUCCUCAUGUAUCCAUGUAACUGACUCAAAAAUACUUCAGCCACAGAAAGCUAAAACUGAGCAAAUCUCAUUCUUCUUUUCCAUCCCCUUUGCAUGUGGCUGGCAUUUAGUAAUGAUUAAUAAUAUGGCCAGCUGAAUAACAGAGGUUUGAGACACAAUUCUUUCUCAAAGGAGUCAGCUAAGCUGGGUCUACUUAUGGACAAACAUCUAAAUGUGUGGAAGUAUCUGAUAUUUGACAAUGGUAAAUUUCCACUUAGCUAGCUAGCAUUGUCAGACUUCAAUCUCCUCAUGGCUCUGGCCGUCCUGUUUUAAGCAUGAUAAUUGUUGGCCACAUCUCACAUAGUUCUCAUUGAGUGAGUUCAUAAAUAAACAGGGUUUUUUUUUUUUUUUAAAGAGCAGCCAAGCACAAAGUGUGACUUUGUUGACAUUUUAUGUGACUUUGUCAUAUGUUCCUAACCCCCAAUAAAAGCAAUG
rnacentral:lncRNA from 1 species